rnacentral:rRNA from 1 species
UACGGGGGGGGCAAGCGUUGUUCGGAAUUACUGGGCGUAAAGAGCUCGUAGGCGGCUUGUCACGUCGGGUGUGAAAGCCCGGGGCUUAACCCCGGGUCUGCAUUCGAUACGGGCUAGCUAGAGUGUGGUAGGGGAGAUCGGAAUUCCUGGUGUAGCGGUGAAAUGCGCAGAUAUCAGGAGGAACACCGGUGGCGAAGGCGGAUCUCUGGGCCAUUACUGACGCUGAGGAGCGAAAGCGUGGGGAGCGAACAGG